GACAGUUUGGCCGAGUGGUCGAAGGCGCUAGCUUCAGGCCCUAGUCCGAAAGGACGCGAGUUCGAAGCUCGCAGCUGUUA
rnacentral:tRNA from 1 species